AGAGCGAACGCUGGCGGCAGGCCUAAUACAUGCAAGUCGAGCGGCCACUUCGGUGGCAGCGGCGGACGGGUGAGUAACGCGUGGGAAUGUGCCCUUUGGUACGGAACAACUGAGGGAAACUUCAGCUAAUACCGUAUGUGCCCGUUCGGGGGAAAGAUUUAUUGCCAUUGGAGCAGCCCGCGUUGGAUUAGCUAGUUGGUGGGUAAAGGCCCACCGAAGGCGACGAUCCAUAGCUGGUCUGAGAGGAUGAUCAGCCACACUGGGACUGAGACACGGCCCAGACUCCGUACGGGG
rnacentral:rRNA from 1 species